CCAGUGUUCACUAUUUUAUCCUAGGUUUUGAAAUUCAUGGGUUAUUACUGGUACCAUGUACUUCACUCACUGAAUCUUUUGGCUGAAAUUCAUGCCUCUUAACUGUCCCUUGUUUCUUAUUGAUCUACUUUUACCCUUUUUUUUUCUAAGAUACGCUGAUUUUGCAUUGUUUUCACGUGCUUAUUUCUGCUCUUGUUCUCAGUGAUGUAAGAUUGAAUUAGUUUAAAAGUGUUUUCUGCUAAUGGGUAUUGUUUAGCACUCUUCAGUCUAAACUAUUGUAAUUUAUAUUUAUUGUGGAUAUAUUGCCAUGUCUAUGUUUUUGAAUUUGAUGAAUUACUGAUAUGCACGACGUGUUUGCUUUACUAGACUUUAAAUGGUGGAAUUUCUUUGUUUUUGGAUACACAGUUUUGAGAUUUCUUUUGAAUUCAAAAUUGCCCAAGCUGCAUUUAAGUGAUUGCAUAUGUGAAAGUGUGCGUUUUUCUUGUCCAUAUGUCACAUGUCAGGCUUUAAGUUUAUGAAACCUGAGGAUUAGUAUAUAAUAGAUAUAUCAUUAUUUUUUGUUUAGAUAAUUAAGCACCAGCUAUGUUUAGCAAUUAACUUCUGUCAGGCUAGUUAAAUUUUUAAUAAUCAACUUUCAAUCCCAGCUGAGAACUUCGUUUUUAAUAACCAUGUUUUUGUUACCUAAGUUUUUCACCAUUCAUCCCUCUUUAUCAUAUAUUCAUGCUAGGUUGGAAACUAAAGGAGGUUAACCUUUUAUUUCUUUGUAGAAGGAUAAUACUUGCUAUAUAAUGGUUAAGACUGAAAGUAAUAUCAUUCCUAUGUUUUUAGAAAAUAUUUUAAUUUUUUAUGAAAGUAAGAUAUUAAAAGUAUGCCCACGAUGGAAUUAGCUCUUAUAAAUCACUUCUAGACUGUUGUGUGAUCACAUGUCUUGAUGAUUGAUGUUAAUAUAUAUAUAUGGUUUUGCUCUAUGAAAAUCCUUUUGUUUUCACAUAUUGCCAUGCUAAACUAGCAGCACUCUUAUCUUUUUUGCAGUCACUACUCAGAGGUAGGUUCUUGCUUGAAAGACCUGUUGAAGAGGAGAGACCAUCUUCAGUGGCAGUGAGUGAAUUAAAUUAAUUAAGUCACUACUCAGAAGUAAAAUAUCAAUUAGCCUGUUACUUUAUCAGAUUGUGUUAUAUUUCCUCAACAAUGUCUAAUUUGAGUUUAUAGAAGCAAUAAGCCCAUGUAGUAAACAGUGGAUGUAGUAAACCUAUUUUAGUCUAAUUUCAAAGGGUUUUUAGUUUAUAAAUUUUCAAGUUUAUAACUGUACAUAUUGAACUUGUGCAUUUUUUUUUUGCAAUCAAUUAUUUGCACUAUUUGAACUUGUAAUUUUGCUAUUUAAAUAUUAACAUGAUUUUUCAAUAUUUUGACUAAAAAAUAUUAAUUUAUUAUAUGAUUAAAUAAUAUCUUUUUGACUAAAAGUAUAUAUUUAAUACUAAUUAAUUUUUUAUAUUAAUAAUGUUUAAUUUUAAUAUUUAAUUUUUUUAAAUGUUUUUAAAAGUUAGUGGCGAUUUUAUGUAAAAUGCCGCUAAAGAACGGUACUUUUAGCGGCGUUUGUGAUAAAAAGCGUCACUAAAGGUCAUGUUCUUUAGCGGCAAUUGUUAGAAAACCGUCGCUAAAGGCUAUGUUCUUUAGCGGCAUUUAUUAAAAAAGCGCCGCUAAAGAACAUGGUCUUUAGCGGCAUUUAUUUCUAAAAGCGCCGCAAGUAUUAACGGCGUGGUCAAUAGCGGCAUUUUUUGUGGCGCUUGUUGAAGCGCCGCAAAUACUUACAACUGCGCUAAAAGGCGCCGCUGAAGGCCUAAA
rnacentral:lncRNA from 1 species